rfam:[Oscillatoria] sp. PCC 6506, WGS project CACA01000000 data, contig: Contig87
AGCGGGAUAGAGUAGUGGUUACUCACAGGUUUCAUACGCCUGUUUUACGAAGGUUCGAUUCCUUCUCCCGCGU